GUGGGGAAUAUUGCACAAUGGGGGAAACCCUGAUGCAGCGACGCCGCGUGAGUGAAGAAGUAUUUCGGUACGUAAAGCUCUAUCAGCAAGGAAGAAAAUGACGGUACUUGACUAAGAAGCCCCGGCUAACUACGUGCCAGCAGCCGCGGUAAUACGUAGGGGGCAAGCGUUAUCCGGAUUUACUGGGUGUAAAGGGAGCGUAGACGGUAUGGUAAGUCAGAUGUGAAAGCCCGGGGCUCAACCCCGGGACUGCAUUUGAAACUAUCAGACUAGAGUACAGGAGAGGUAAGUGGAAUUCCUAGUGUAGCGGUGAAAUGCGUAGAUAUUAGGAGGAACACCAGUGGCGAAGGCGGCUUACUGGACUGUAACUGACGUUGAGGCUCGAAAGCGUGGGGAGCAAACAGGAUUAGAUACCCUAGUAGUCC
rnacentral:rRNA from 1 species